GUUUGAGCAGAAGUAGCUUCUCUUGGGGAAGGAACGGACAAUGCUGCUAGUACGUUAGGAUCAAUUAAUCCUGCAUGCUGAAGUUGUGCAACUACAUCUGCAAUAACUUCUUGUCGCAUAGUUCUCCUUUGUUCUUCCAUUUGUUUCUCCAUUUUUUGCAUCCUUUCUUGCAUUUGUUGCACUACAUCAUUUGUUGCAUUCAAAGUUGGUUCAGAAUUGUCAACUUUCUUUUUCAAAGUUAUCUUUGUAAC
rnacentral:lncRNA from 1 species